rnacentral:rRNA from 1 species
CCAAAUAUCUAGCCUUCUCCUUCUUACCCUUCAAAUAUAAAUUAAAAUAUUAUAACAGUCUAGUAAAGAAGAUUAAAAAACUCCCAAGAGCUAUAAAUCUGUACCGUAAGGGAAAGAUGAAAUAAAAAUGAAACAAAUUUCAAGCACAAAAAAGUAAAGACUUACCCUUGUACCUUUUGCAUCAUGGUUUAGCUAGUCUAAUUAGGCAAAAAGACCUUAAGUCUAACCCCCCGAAACUAAGUGAGCUAAUUUAGGGCCGCUUUAUGAGCCCACCCGUCUAUGUUGCAAAAUAGUGGGAAGACCCUAAAAUAGAGGUGACAGACCUAACGAACUUAGUGAUAGCUGGUUUCUCAAGAAAAGAAUUUAGUUCAACAUAAAAUAAUGCUAACCUACAUAAUCACCCCUUAUUUUAAAGCAAUUCAAAUGAGGUACAGCCCAUUUGAUACAGGACUCGACCUUCGCUAACGGGUAAAACCCGAUUUACACCUCAAAGUAGGCCUAAGAGCAGCCAUCUUUAGAAAAGCGUCAAAGCUUAACCACAUUUAUCUUAAUCUUUAAACCCCCAUAGAACCCUUUUAUAGUACUGAGAACCUCUAUAAUCCUAUAGAGCCUUUUAUGCUAAAACUAGUAACAAGAAACCCUCCCUCUCUUUAAUGCAAACUUAACCCAGCAGGAAUAAUCACUGACAACUAACAGAGUUAAAUAAAUGUAGCAACUUCACUAGAAAACCCUACCCCCCCCCCCUGUUAACCUAACACCAGAGCAUUUCAAGAAAGAUUAAAAGAAAAAGAAGGAAUUCAGCAAACAAUAGCCUCGCCUGUUUACCAAAAACAUCGCCUCUUGAUUUUAAUAAGAGGUCCAGCCUGCCCAGUGACUCUGUUCAACGGCCGCGGUAUCCUAACCGUGCGAAGGUAGCGUAAUCACUUGUUUUCUAAAUAAAGACCAGUAUGAAAGGCACCACGAGGGCUAAACUGUCUCCUUUUUCUAAUCAGUGAACCUAAUCUCCCCGUGAAGAAGCGGGGAUACUUAUAUAAGACGAGAAGACCCUAUGGAGCUUUAAACAUCAUAACACCUGCUAAAUCAUAUAUUACCCGUUAUAUUCCUCUAUAGCACGCUGAUUAUAAGUUUUUGGUUGGGGUGACCGCGGAGAAAAAUAAAUCCUCCACAAUGAAAGGAACCCUCCUAAACAAUAAGUUACAACUUUAAUUAUCAACAAAUUGACAUCCAUUGACCCAAUAUUUGAUCAACGAACCAAGUUACCCUAGGGAUAACAGCGCAAUCCACUUUGAAAGCUCCUAUCGACAAGUGGGCUUACGACCUCGAUGUUGGAUCGGGGUAUCCAAGUGGUGCAGCCGCUACUUAAGGUUCGUUUGUUCAACGAUUAAAACCCCACGUGAUCUGAGUUCAGACCGGAGCAAUCCAGGUCAGUUUCUAUCUAUAAAGAGCUUUUUUCAGUACGAAAGGACCAAAACAGCAUGGCCAAUAUCACUUCAAGCCAUAAGAUAUUACUUUUGACCUCAACUCAAAAACUACUAUCUCUCCCCCCCCCCCAAAAAAAAAA